CGUUCCUUCACAAACACCGGUAUAUUGUUUUAAUAAAGUAGCAUGGCAGACUUCCGGUAUGCUAAAAUGACAUCUGCUCAGCAGUGAACUCAGCUGCUCGAACAAGAUCCUCGUUUCACUCUUCAAUUUUUUCUAUACUUUCGAAGUCCUACCAUGGAUAAAUACACUACUUUUGUAGGUGAGACUAGCUGCCUGUUGUCUGUCUUCAGUGUCAAGAGAUCCAGCUGAGUCGGAAGAAGAGUUGGAGUCAGGAUUUGCCCUAAUCCUCCAUUUCCGUGUUAAAAAGAAACAUUGAAGAUGUGGAACAAGAGGAAGGAAAAAGUUUGACAGAGAAGCAGUAAGAUCCAGAAGGGAAACCCUGACAUUCCCCUGGAUGAACACAGUCUCCAACUCAUGCUGAGGGUUCCCAAGGUGUUAAUAGUUCCUCCAGGAGGUUCUGGGGUCUCCUACAUAAGGGCUGUACCCAGAAAACAUCACAAGAAACUCAUUCAGGGUGCGUCCUGUUCAUCCAUCCACCUCCUGCUUCAUCCAACCAUCACUCCUGAACAAGACACCAAGAUAUUUGAAUGCCUCGAGGAAGAAAUCUACUUCAGUCUGGUGACGAACCGUGGAAACAACAACCCUUACUAACCAAAGACCUUCCUCUCAACGACGACGCGUGGAGAUCAUGACCAAAUGAGAUUGUUACUGAGUGGCUGGUGGAGUUCAACCCAAACUGGGAACAUUUCCUUAACAGGACAAUUUGGUAAUUGUACAGUUGGGACACCCGAGUGUCCCAACUGUAACACAGUCACAAGUCUUCUCUAGUGCCACACAACACAUUUGGACCAAAGCUAUCAACUCCUUUUGACCAAUUAUUCCUACAUUUUUUUUUUUAUUUAGUUUUAGAAAUAAUGGUUAAAAUAAUGGAAUAAUGGUUAAAAUCAGUCAUAUGUGCCCCAGUCUGUUUGAUAUGGAUCAAAUUAAAACCAAUAUGAUCUUGUGUUGACGUCUUUGGUUGGAUAUCAAUAAAGUUUUUG